GACGAACGCUGGCGGCGUGCUUAACACAUGCAAGUCGAACGGUAAGGCCCUUCGGGGUACACGAGUGGCGAACGGGUGAGUAACACGUGGGUGAUCUGCCCUGCACUUCGGGAUAAGCCUGGGAAACUGGGUCUAAUACCGGAUAGGACUCCUGGCUUCAUGGUGGGGGGUGGAAAGCUUUUGCGGUGUGGGAUGGGCCCGCGGCCUAUCAGCUUGUUGGUGGGGUAAUGGCCUACCAAGGCGACGACGGGUAGCCGGCCUGCGAGGGUGACCGGUCACACUGGGACUGAGAUACGGCCCAGACUCCUACGGGAGGCAGCAGUGGGGAAUAUUGCACAAUGGGCGCAAGCCUGAUGCAGCGACGCCGCGUGAGGGAUGACGGCCUUCGGGUUGUAAACCUCUUUCAGCUAUGACGAAGCGCAAGUGACGGUAGUAGCAGAAGAAGGACCGGCCAACUACGUGCCAGCCGCCGCCGUAA
rnacentral:rRNA from 1 species